CCUGGCUCAGGAUGAACGCUAGCGGGAGGCCUAACACAUGCAAGCCGAGCGGGAUUUGUUGGCUAGUUUGCUAACUGAUAAUGAGAGAGGCGUACGGGUGCGGAACAUGUGUGCAAUCUGCCCUUAUCAAGGGGAUAACCCAGAGAAAUCUGGAUUAAUACCCUAUAACAUAUGGGAUGGCAUCAUUUCAUAUUAAAAGCUACGGCGGAUAAGGAUGAGCACGCACAAGAUUAGCUAGUUGGUAAGGUAACGGCUUACCAAGGCGACGAUCUUUAGUGGGCCUGAGAGGGUGAUCCCCCACACUGGGACUGAGACACGGCCCAGACUCCUACGG
rnacentral:rRNA from 1 species